rnacentral:tRNA from 1 species
AUUUAUAUAGUUUAUCUAAAACACUUUACUGAAGAUAAAGAAAACUAUACAUC